rnacentral:piRNA from 1 species
GGUUGCAAGAUCAAGGAAAUAAGAGA